CGGGACGGGGUGGAGUAAUGUCUGGGAAACUGCCCGAUGGAGGGGGAUAACUACUGGAAACGGUAGCUAUACCGCAUAACGUCGCAAGACCAAAGAGGGGACCGUUCGGGCCUCUUGCCAUCGGAUGUGCCCAGAUGGGAUUAGCUAGUAGGUGGGGUAACGGCUCACCUAGGCGACGAUCCCUAGCUGGUCUGAGAGGAUGACCAGCCACACUGGAACUGAGACACGGUCCAG
rnacentral:rRNA from 1 species